rnacentral:rRNA from 1 species
CCUACGGGUGGCUGCAGUGGGGAAUUUUGGGCAAUGGGCGAAAGCCUGACCCAGCAAUGCCGCGUGCGGGAUGAAGGUCUUCGGAUCGUAAACCGCUGUCGCCCGGGACGAAAUAUGACGGUACCGGGGGAGGAAGCCACGGCUAACUACGUGCCAGCAGCCGCGGUAAUACGUAGGUGGCGAGCGUUGUUCGGAUUCAUUGGGCGUAAAGGGUCCGCAGGGGGUAGAUUAAGUCUGAUGUGAAAUCCCUGAGCUUAACUCAGGAACUGCAUUGGAGACUGGUCUACUAGAGUAUCGGAGAGGAGAUUGGAAUUCCAGGUGUAGCGGUGGAAUGCGUAGAUAUCUGGAAGAACACCGAAAGCGAAGGCAGAUCUCUGGACGAUUACUGACCCUCAGGCACGAAAGCGUGGGGAGCAAACAGGAUUAGAUACCCCUGUAGUC